rnacentral:rRNA from 1 species
UAUGUGAUCGUCUCUCGCAUAUCAAUAAGCGGAGGAAAAGAAACUAACAAGGAUUCCCCUAGUAACGGCGAGUGAAGCGGGAAGAGCUCAAAUUUGAAAUCUUAAAGGGUUUCCCCUUACGAAUUGUAGUUUAAAGAAGUGUUUUCUGUUGAGGUUUUGGUAAAAGUUCUUUGGAAUAGGACAUCAUAGAGGGUGAGAAUCCCGUAUUUGACCUUUACUUUCAACUUUGUGAUACACUUUCAAAGAGUCGGAUUGUUUGGGAAUGCAGUCCAAAAUGGGUGGUAAAUUUCAUCUAAAGCUAAAUAUUGGCGAGAGACCGAUAGCGAACAAGUACCGUGAGGGAAAGAUGAAAAGAACUUUGAAAAGAGAGUUAAACAGUACGUGAAAUUGUCAAAAGGGAAGCGUUUGACACCAGUGUUGUUUUUCUGAAAAUCAAUUAAAGAACUGUUUAUGCUAAGCUGUUUAGACUUUAUCAGCUAUCUGCUUAGUUUUGAGCUUUUCUUUAAUGCACUUUUCAGUUAACAAGGUCAACAUCAAUUUCUUUUGCUGUAAAAAAGCUUGAGGAAGGUGGCUUGAGAUUCGUCUUAAGUGUUUAUAGCCUCUUGCCUAUGCAGUCAGGAGAGAUUGAGGUCUGCAGCGUAGAUCCUUCGGGGCUAAAUGCAUUUGUGCUAAGUUAUAGCAUUUUAUAGACAACUUGUUGACUAUGAUUUGUCUUGUAGCUUACUCGCUUAUGUUAUUUUACCUACGCUUAGGAUGUUGAUCUACAGAGCGAGAGU